rnacentral:sRNA from 1 species
AUUGUGGUUGGCCAGUUUGUUCUCAAAGUGUGGUCUCUGGGAAUGCAUGCGGAAUCCAGAUUUCUAGGCCCCACCCCAAGCCUACUGAACCAGGAACUCUGAGGAGGGGGCCCAGAAGUUUGUGUUUAGCAAGCCCUGCAGCUGAGUCUGGCAGACGCUUCAUUUGAGGACCACUGUGCAAUCCAUAUGAAAUGUGGUGGUGGAUUCAGCUGAAACCAUGGAAUGAAUGGGGGUGAGGCUGGGGAUGUGGAAACUGUAUCCCAGAGAUCAGAUCUAGAGGACUCAGUGGAUGAUUGCAUGGGGUGCAGGUGGGUGGGUGCUGGGGGAGUAGAAAGGCACAGGAGCAGGUUCUGGCACUGGCGAAUGAAACCGCUUCUCACGCAGGUAUCCCUCGUGGGCUUCCUGUUCCUUUUGGGCUUAUACAUCUCGUCCCUGGCUUCCUGUAUGGGAGGACUUUAUGGAGCUCCCCGCAUCCUGCAGUGCAUUGCCCAGGAGAAAGUGAUCCCUGCACUUGCCUGUCUGGGACAAGGGAAGGGGCCAAACAAAACACCCGUGGCUGCCAUCUGCCUGACCAGCUUGGUGACCAUGGCCUUUGUUUUUGUGGGUCAAGUGAACGUUCUGGCCCCCAUCGUCACCAUCAACUUCAUGCUGACAUACAUCGCAGUGGACUACUCUUACUUCUCCCUGUCCAUGUGUUCCUGCAGCCUGACCCCGGUGCCUGAGCCGGUGCUCAGGGAGGGCCCGGAAGGCCUCCACUGCUCUGAGCACCUGCUCUUA